GUGAUGAUCAGCGCCCUGUGCGGAAUGAAUGGUCUAAAAGAGAUUAUAUAUUUUAAUCUAUAGUUAUUGAAAAGGUAAAACAAAAAGUGGCAUAUAAUACUUGGUAUAGAUUAGCAGAAGUAAUGUUUGAUAUAAUGAUUAAUGCAAAGAAAACCAAUUUGGGAUUGGAAGUUUACUCGAUUUUUUUCAGUUAAAAAAAGUUUACUGGAGUAUCUGGAUAACGAUAAUCUUAUUAUGGUCGAGAAACAGUAAUUGUCCUAUUAUCAAAGUUGUAUCGUUAUAUUUUAUUAAAAUUAUACUGGUUCCGGAGUACAUAAAAAUUAUAAAAGAAUAAAAAAAAAUUGAAGUAAAUAAUAUUACGUUGGAAAAAAAAAUAAUAAUAUGAGUUUACAAAUUUAGUGGGGUGAUUAGGACUCGAAUUUGUAAAAGAGACCCAUUAUUGAACCUUAAUAUUGAUUGUGACUCAAAAUACAUACGAGUCUCUUUUAAUUUAUCUUUUAUUUAAAAAGGUGUUUUUACUAAAAAAAUUCUAGGGGACACGAGAUAAGAGGCUACAGUUAAGCCUCUCCACCCGAUCUCUCUUCUCAUCACCUGAGAAAUAAACAUAUUUCGUUAACUAAGCUCAAUCCCAAUAUAUAAGAAGAUUAAAAGCUGAAUCGAGUGACUCAAGUCUCAGGGAAUUUGAACCGAUGGAUUGUAAGUCGGCAAAGGCCCUAUCAACAAACCUCCUGAAUAUUUGUUGAUUUCUAGAUGCAUCGAGGACACAUCGCGAGUGGUAUAUCUUAGUGAAAAGAAAGGGCUGGAAAAGACUCCUGCAAUUAAAACCGGAGAAGUGUGUACUGACUAUCACUCCUGUCAACAUAUCCCUUGAAGUUUGUUUAAUUCGUUGACGCAGCGGUUACAUGUUUCCAUUUACAUGAAGUCGCAAGAGGUGUAUCACAUUCAUCGUGGAGAGUCAGAUAUGAUGCUGAAGAAGAUUCUUAGUUCACUUAAUUUACUCAACAGAGAAGGAUACUUAAACGACGAUAUUACUCGGGUAUUUUGGUGGGGACUCUUGGUGUUGCUGGUUACCUUCACAUGAUUCACCAUAUGCAAGCACUCAUAUCCGCUGCUGGAAAAAAAUCUUACAUUCUUGCCAUGGGAAACUUCCAUGAGGAAAAGUCCAUUUUCUCUCCUCUUCAAAUCCACAAAUCCAAUGUUGGCAUGCAACGUUUCCAUUUGAGACAGAGGAGGCGAAAUAUACACACCUGCAUCCAACAAAAACAGAACCAAAGAGGUAAGAGUACAAAAGGCAAGCUCGGCUUAAUUAAACCAGAACGAAGCAUUAUUAGGCCCUACAAUCAAGCAAAUGAAAUUACAAAGAAAAUGAAGGAGCGUUCUCUGCAACAAACGUGACACAAGAGCAGAAUCGUGCCUAAUCUGGAAAUCAGUGCAGUUACAUGUUUGAAGAAAUCCCAUCCCAAGGCUAACAUAAUGAUAUGAUGCAGUUUUCAAAAUUUGUGGAAUGACAAAAAAACUAACAUUUACCAGGGAGAAGGAGUGUCAACAACUUAUUUUUUGGGUCUAAAUGUUAAGAGAAUGUCAACAACUUCGACGAAGCAAAUUAGGUGUUUACAAAUCCGUUUGUUUCUAAUGGAGCAUAUUGGUAUACAAAAAUGCAAGUUUAUUCUAGAAAAACGGUCCAAAUGUGUUUAUUUCAUUGUUUUAAUUUUCAGUAGAUCAAAUCUAAGGAACAUUUAGUUUUAGAGAUCAAUCAAUAGUUGCUCAAAAAAAAAAAGAGAUUAUUCAAUUAAAAAAGUAAAAAUAAAACUAAACUUGUCAAAUAUACUUAUACUAUAUUUUGUGUGUUCUUAUAUGUAUAUUAUUUUAUAUUACGAAACUGCUUCUAUACAUGCAUCUCUUCUUUUGGAAUAAAAUCUUAAUAGUUGUUUUAACAUUUUCAAGUAUUUUGUUUUAAAGGAGCCACUUUUAAUUUUAGUUGUGAUAUUAUUUAGCUAUAGAAAAUGCGACUAAAACAAUAUCUAAUUUCGUUAAAUUUUAAGAAAAAUGAUAAUUUAAAUGCAAGUCAAUAUUGAUCCGUGCGUAGCACGGGGUGAUAUACUAGUACUCCCUAAAUUGGUGAACUAACCACUAUAAAAUCGUUAUUCUCUAG